rnacentral:rRNA from 1 species
GACGAACGCUGGCGGCGUGCUUAACACAUGCAAGUCGAACGGGAUCCGGGCUUUCGGGUUUGGUGAGAGUGGCGAACGGGUGAGUAACACGUGAGUAACCUGCCCCCUUCUUUGGGAUAACGUCGGGAAAUCGGCGCUAAUACUGGAUAUUCUUGCUGCAUCGCAUGGUGUGGUUUGGAAAGGGUUUCUGGUGGGGGAUGGGCUCGCGGCCUAUCAGCUUGUUGGUGGGGUGAUGGCCUACCAAGGCUUUGACGGGUAGCCGGCCUGAGAGGGUGUCCGGCCACACUGGGACUGAGACACGGCCCAGACUCCUACGGGAGGCAGCAGUGGAGAAUAUUGCACAAUGGGCGCAAGCCUGAUGCAGCGACGCCGCGUGAGGGAUGACGGCCUUCGGGUUGUAAACCUCUUUCAGUAUGGAACAAGGAUCCUUCUUUUGGGGGGUUUGAGGGUACGUGCAGAAGAAGCGCCGGCUAACUACGUG